CAGAAGCUAAGUCCGAAGAGAGAGAUGUCGUAAGGCAAACGUGGUGUGGAUUUUACAUCUAAGAGUGUCAUUGAGGUCGACUACCCGUAGUCCUGAUAUUACUUAUUUGUGAUCUGCAAGAGAAGCCGAGGGACGCUGUGGAAGGAGAGGGAGAGCGAGGUUUCUGGCCGGAUGGACCCUGCUGUUUUCUUGCCCCUGACUGUCUUCACUACUGAUGAACUAACUGCCCGUUUCUGAUUGCCCCACUAACAAACUCAUUGGACUCGUGAGUACUAACUGGAACUAAAGUGCACGUAUUUUGUUUAUUGCUCAGUUUGAGUGAAGCGGCCAUCAGUUUUAGGCCUCACCGCACCCGAACUUCGAAUCAGGCCUGCAACAAGCACUGUGCUACAGCUUUACCAUAGCUACGUGGGACCUGGGUUACA